rnacentral:rRNA from 1 species
AGAGUUUGAUCCUGGCUCAGGACGAACGCUGGCGGCGCGCCUAACACAUGCAAGUCGAACGGAGCUUAGAGAGCUUGCUUUUUAAGCUUAGUGGCGAACGGGUGAGUAACGCGUGAGUAACCUGCCCUAGAGUGGGGGACAACAGUUGGAAACGACUGCUAAUACCGCAUAAGCCCACGGUACCGCAUGGUACUGAGGGAAAAGGAUUUAUUCGCUUUAGGAUGGACUCGCGUCCAAUUAGCUAGUUGGUGAGGUAACGGCCCACCAAGGCGACGAUUGGUAGCCGGACUGAGAGGUUGAACGGCCACAUUGGGACUGAGACACGGCCCAGACUCCUACGGGAGGCAGCAGUGGGGGAUAUUGCACAAUGGGGGAAACCCUGAUGCAGCGACGCCGCGUGGAGGAAGAAGGUCUUCGGAUUGUAAACUCCUGUUGUUGAGGAAGAUAAUGACGGUACUCAACAAGGAAGUGACGGCUAACUACGUGCCAGCAGCCGCGGUAAAACGUAGGUCACAAGCGUUGUCCGGAAUUACUGGGUGUAAAGGGAGCGCAGGCGGGAAGACAAGUUGGAAGUGAAAUCCAUGGGCUCAACCCAUGAACUGCUUUCAAAACUGUUUUUCUUGAGUAGUGCAGAGGUAGGCGGAAUUCCCGGUGUAGCGGUGGAAUGCGUAGAUAUCGGGAGGAACACCAGUGGCGAAGGCGGCCUACUGGGCACCAACUGACGCUGAGGCUCGAAAGUGUGGGUAGCAAACAGGAUUAGAUACCCUGGUAGUCCACACCGUAAACGAUGAUUACUAGGUGUUGGAGGAUUGACCCCUUCAGUGCCGCAGUUAACACAAUAAGUAAUCCACCUGGGGAGUACGACCGCAAGGUUGAAACUCAAAGGAAUUGACGGGGGCCCGCACAAGCAGUGGAGUAU